UACGGAGGAUGCAAGCGUUAUCCGGAAUUAUUGGGCGUAAAGAGCGCGCAGGUGGUUGAUUAAGUCUGAUGUGAAAGCCCACGGCUUAACCGUGGAGGGUCAUUGGAAACUGGUCGACUUGAGUGCAGAAGAGGGAAGUGGAAUUCCAUGUGUAGCGGUGAAAUGCGUAGAGAUAUGGAGGAACACCAGUGGCGAAGGCGGCUUCCUGGUCUGUAACUGACACUGAGGCGCGAAAGCGUGGGUAGCAAACAGGAUUAGA
rnacentral:rRNA from 1 species